GAUGAAGAACGUAGCGAAAUGCGAUAAGUAAUGCGAAUUGCAGAAUUCCAGUGAGUCAUCGAAUCUUUGAACGCACAUUGCGCCCUUUGGUAUUCCGAAGGGCAUGCCUGUUCGAGCGUCAUUAUCACCCCUCAAGCCCUCGGCUUGGUGUUGGACGGUUUGGUGGAGGCCCCCUCGGGGGCUCCUGCCCCUCCCAAAGACAAUGACGGCGGCCUCGUUGGACCCCCGGUACACUGAGUUCUUCACGGGACACGUAUCGGACACAUGGGUUUUCGGGACACGGUCUGCCUCCCCUCAGGGAGAAUCUUUCUAAGGUUGACCUCGGAUCAGGUAGGGAUACCCGCUGAACUUAAGCAUAUCAAUAAGCGGAGGA
rnacentral:misc_RNA from 1 species